rnacentral:rRNA from 1 species
GAUGAACGCUGGCGGCGUGCCUAAUACAUGCAAGUCAAGCGAACGGACGAGAAGCUUGCUUCUCUGAUGUUAGCGGCGGACGGGUGAAUAACACGUGGAUAACCUACCUAUAAGACUGGGAUAACUUCGGGAAACCGGAGCUACUACCGGAUAAUAUUUUGAACCACAUGGUUCAAAAGUGAAAGACGGUCUUGCUGUCACUUAUAGAUGGAUCCGCGCUGCAUUAGCUAGUUGGUAAGGUAACGGCUUACCAAGGCAACGAUGCAUAGCCGACCUGGGAGGGUGAUCGGCCACACUGGAGCGGAGACACGGACCAGACUCACACGGGAGGCAGGAGGAGGGAAUCUUCCGCAAUGGGCGAAAGCAUGACGGAGCAACGCCGCGUGAGUGAUGAAGGUCGUCGGAUCGUAAAACUCUGUUAUUAGGGAAGAACAUAUGUGUAAGUAACUGUGCACAUAUUGACGGUACCUAAGCAGAAAGCCAGGGCUAACUACGU